GCUAGAGCUGGAGGAGAGUGGAUGGUGCUCUGGUCUGGCUGCUGGGACACCACCAGGACAAGGCCCUGAGUACAAGCUCAGCAAGUGGAAGAUGACAGACCCAAAGCUUUGCCUGCUUUAGGGGAGCAACAGAACUCCAAUAAUGGCAUAAGAUUUUGCAUUCAUCUGGGAAUCUUGGACAAAGCAGCCUGGAGGGAAAGCAUUUCUGUCGAAGAUGAGAAGACUGGGAGGUGAAAACCGCAUCUAGAAAUAAAUGCAGAGAGGAAGAGCAAAACUUUCAUUUCCAUAAAUAACGUUCGUCAAAUGUGAAGUGUUAGGCAUAUGCUUUCUUAACUAUUCUCUAAAUAUGUGGCUGAAACUGUACAAAGAAUAGAUUUUAAAAUCUUUGCAGGGGCAGAAAAUACCCUGUCAUUUUGCCUGACAAGUGUCUACAGACAUAUUGAUCACAUAGGUGCUUAGUAGCAAGGUGUUUGUAAAGAAUUUUGGAUCAAUUGAUUUUCAUGCAACCCAAAGACAAAUAAGUGCAGCAUUCAGGGAGGCUCUUAUUCAUUGUGUCUGUCUGUAAGGUUAGCGACAUCUUCACUGUUCUCGGCAACUGCCAAGUCUAUGGAAGUAUGGGUUAAUUUCCUUUAAUAUCCGUGUGAAUGCAGCUAAGCUAGCCCAACAAGGAAACUGGCAGCAUGGAGCAAAUAUACUUGUUUUUAUGGCAUACCUGAGAUUGAAUUUGUAGUGUUAUGGACAAUUUUUGUUUCAGCUGGUUCUUCAGGGGGUGGGCAGGGAGGUGUAAAAGAGGGUGAAUGUGGGUUUGUACUUCCUGAAUGUUUGAGAAUAAAUGACUUUCUAGAAGUGCAAACCCACAUUCACCCUCUUUUACACCUCACUGCCCCCCUCCGAAGAACCAGCUGAAACAAAAAUUGUCCAUAACACUAUAAAUUCAGUCUCAGGUGUGCCAUAAAAACAGGUGCAGCACUGCCCCUCAUUGCAGUAAUUACGGGAAGCCAUAUUGAUGGCUGUACUAUGUCCACUUGGAUCUUUGCAUGUUUCAGAAAUUGGUGUGGAUGUUGUGAGAGAGAACGGGGGAAUCAUGUAGCCUGAGUUCAUUUACUAUUGAAGCAUUUGCCUGUAUUUUGCCGUAGCUCACUGAGGUGCUGUAGGGAAAUACAGUGAUUCAUAGAACAGUAUUCUCACGGAGGCUGCUCAUGCAGCAAAAAGCUUGCCCUGUACCUUCGUGUACAAUUCAAAUGAAUGCCUUGGAAAUAGCAUGAUUUACGUG